UACGAAGGGGGCUAGCGUUGCUCGGAAUCACUGGGCGUAAAGCGCACGUAGGCGGACUCUUAAGUCGGUGGUGAAAUCCUGGAGCUCAACUCCAGAACUGCCUCGAUACUGAGAGUCUCGAGUCCGGGAGAGGUGAGUGGAACUCCUGGUGUAGCGGUGGAAUGCGCAGAUAUCAGGAAGAACACCAACGGCGAAGGCAGCUCGCUGGGACGGUACUGACACUGAGACGCGAAAGCGUGGGGGAGCAAACAGG
rnacentral:rRNA from 1 species